GGAAUUUUCCGCAAUGGGCGAAAGCCUGACGGAGCAACGCCGCGUGAGGGAUGAAGGCCUCUGGGCUGUAAACCUCUUUUAUCAAGGAAGAAGAUCUGACGGUACUUGAUGAAUAAGCCACGGCUAAUUCCGUGCCAGCAGCCGCGGUAAUACGGGAGUGGCAAGCGUUAUCCGGAAUUAUUGGGCGUAAAGCGUCCGCAGGCGAUCUGUCAAGUCUGCUGUUAAAGCGUGGAGCUUAACUCCAUUUCGGCAGUGGAAACUGACAGACUAGAGUGUGGUAGGGGCAGAGGGAAUUCCCGGUGUAGCGGUGAAAUGCGUAGAUAUCGGGAAGAACACCAGUGGCGAAGGCGCUCUGCUGGGCCAUAACUGACGCUCAUGGACGAAAGCCAGGGGAGCGAAAGGGAUUAGAUACCCCAGUAGUC
rnacentral:rRNA from 1 species